GUGAGUAAUGUCUGGAAACUGCCUGAUGGAGGGGGAUAACUACUGGAAAGCGGUAGCUAAGUACCGCAGUAAGCGUCGCAAGAGCCAAAGAGGGGGACCUUCGGGCCUCUUGCCAGUCAGGAGUGUGCCCAGGAGUGGGAGUUAGGCUAGUAGGGUGGGGUAAGCGGCUCACCUAGGCGAGCGAUCCCUAGCUGGUCUGAGGAGGGAGUGAGCCAGGCCACACUGGAGAGCUGAGGAGCAGCGGUCCAGGAGCUCCUAGCGGGAGGGCAGCAGUGGGGAAUAUUGCACAAUGGGCGCAAGCCUGAUGCAGCCAUGCCGCGUGUAUGANGAAGGCCUUCGGGUUGUACNGUACUUUCAGCGGGGAGGAAGGGUGUGUGGUUAGGUAGCCAAGGCAGUUGNCGUUAGCCCGCAGGAGAGGAGGGCAGCCGGCUAACUCCGUGCCAGCAGCCGCGGUCACUAGCCGGNGGGUGCCAGAGGCGUUGGUCGGAGGCUUAGCUGGGCGUAGGGCCGCCCGCNGGCGNGGCCUUGUCGAGGGGUCGGAGCUGUUGAGGGUCCCCCGGGUUCCCACAGCACCNUUUGGGGGGGAAAAGCGUUGGGCCC
rnacentral:rRNA from 1 species